rnacentral:lncRNA from 1 species
CUUAUAUCCCAGCUCUGCAGAAGUUACCAAAUCUCUCCAAGCCUCAGUUUCCUUAUGCAUAAAAGAAUAACAAGAGCAUCGAAUUACCCAGAGUUCUGACGGGAAACAGAUGGCACAGGGAAAUGGAGGAUGACUUGCAGAGGUCUGGGCAGGAUCAAAGGAAAAUAUGAAAACUGGAAAAGCACAUGGGAGCUGGAUCAGGAUAGAAAGAAAGGUCUGUUUGCCUCCUCCUCCAGUCGGCAGCUGGCGGGGCACGCGGCGAAUACAUCCUCCCCUGCACUCCCCGACCCUUGAUCCCCACAGCCGCCGGCUCCCACUUCCCCGACGCCGCGCAAGGCCGGCCCCCGCCGGGCCCAGAACGCGAGCCGGAAUCAGCCAGCAGCCCAUGAGCGCACGACCAGCUGCCGGCCUGCUGGCUCUCCCCCAGUCGGUUCACCCCAGCGGGGCUCGCGCCCCUGGCACGCCCGCCUGGCACCGCGCCCCGAGGAGCCCGCGGCGGCGAGAGGGCGCCCUUCCCCCCCCCCAGGCCCCGCUUGAUGGGGAUCGCUCCGUCCCAAGGUCAGCCAUCUGGACGCAGCCGUUUCGCCUGACUACUAGACCUUGAGAAAAUGCUGAUUUGAUGCUUUUCGCUUCUGUACUGUGCUUUUACUCCUAUAUAAGGACCCC